UCACCAAGGCUAGGGUAUUCCCAAUUUUAAUACCAGACAAUACAAGAUAUACAAAAGGUGGUGCCACGUGAUGACGAGGACGAAAGUAGGAGGUCUGGAACGUGGAUUCCCACUAACAAUCCACCGCCAACUGUAUAUCCAAAAUGGAGCCAUCCAAAGAGAAAGCCAACGAAGAGGCAGCCCUAAGUACCGAAUGGGCCUCGAAGGAAGCUUCAACAACCACCGAUGGCAAAAGCAAACUGAUCCAACUAGCUACCGUAGUCGACGAGACAGGUCAAUGAGGAGGAACAUAAGAGAUAAGAGCAAAGUGGAGAGAGACUAGGUGUGCCGAAGCACCGAAAAGGAAACCCCAUUCUGUGGAGAAGCUAAUCAAGUGGGAAUUGACAGCCUGAAUGUCUG